rnacentral:rRNA from 1 species
GAUGAACGCUGGCGGCGUGCCUAAUACAUGCAAGUCGAGCGAACGGACGAGAAGCUUGCUUCUCUGAUGUUAGCGGCGGACGGGUGAGUAACACGUGGAUAACCUACCUAUAAGACUGGGAUAACUUCGGGAAACCGGAGCUAAUACCGGAUAAUAUUUUGAACCGCAUGGUUCAAAGGUGAAAGACGGUCUUGCUGUCACUUAUAGAUGGAUCCGCGCUGCAUUAGCUAGUUGGUAAGGUAACGGCUUACCAAGGCAACGAUGCAUAGCCGACCUGAGAGGGUGAUCGGCCACACUGGAACUGAGACACGGUCCAGACUCCUACGGGAGGCAGCAGUAGGGAAUCUUCCGCAAUGGGCGAAAGCCUGACGGAGCAACGCCGCGUGAGUGAUGAAGGUCUUCGGAUCGUAAAACUCUGUUAUUAGGGAAGAACAUAUGUGUAAGUAACUGUGCACAUCUUGACGGUACCUAAUCAGAAAGCCACGGCUAACUACGUGCCAGCAGCCGCGGUAAUACGUAGGUGGCAAGCGUUAUCCGGAAUUAUUGGGUGUAAAGCGCGCGUAGGCGGUUUUUUAAGUCUGAUGUGAAAGCCCACGGCUCAACCGUGGAGGGUCAUUGGAAACUGGAAAACUUGAGUGCAGAAGAGGAAAGUGGAAUUCCAUGUGUAGCGGUGAAAUGCGCAGAGAUAUGGAGGAACACCAGUGGCGAAGGCGACUUUCUGGUCUGUAACUGACGCUGAUGUGCGAAAGCGUGGGGAUCAAACAGGAUUAGAUACCCUGGUAGUCCACGCCGUAAACGAUGAGUGCUAAGUGUUAGGGGGUUUCCGCCCCUUAGUGCUGCAGCUAACGCAUUAAGCACUCCGCCUGGGGAGUACGACCGCAAGGUUGAAACUCAAAGGAAUUGACGGGGACCCGCACAAGCGGUGGAGCAUGUGGUUUAAUUCGAAGCAACGCGAAGAACCUUACCAAAUCUUGACAUCCUUUGACAACUCUAGAGAUAGAGCCUUCCCCUUCGGGGGACAAAGUGACAGGUGGUGCAUGGUUGUCGUCAGCUCGUGUCGUGAGAUGUUGGGUUAAGUCCCGCAACGAGCGCAACCCUUAAGCUUAGUUGCCAUCAUUAAGUUGGGCACUCUAAGUUGACUGCCGGUGACAAACCGGAGGAAGGUGGGGAUGACGUCAAAUCAUCAUGCCCCUUAUGAUUUGGGCUACACACGUGCUACAAUGGACAAUACAAAGGGCAGCGAAACCGCGAGGUCAAGCAAAUCCCAUAAAGUUGUUCUCAGUUCGGAUUGUAGUCUGCAACUCGACUACAUGAAGCUGGAAUCGCUAGUAAUCGUAGAUCAGCAUGCUACGGUGAAUACGUUCCCGGGUCU